rnacentral:rRNA from 1 species
AUUGAACGCUGGUGGCAGGCUUAACACAUGCAAGUCGAGCGGGGUGAUGGUGCUUGCACUAUCACUUAGCGGCGGACGGGUGAGUAAUGCUUAGGAAUCUGCCUAUUAGUGGGGGACAACAUCUCGAAAGGGAUGCUAAUACCGCAUACGUCCUACGGGAGAAAGCAGGGGAUCACUUGUGACCUUGCGCUAAUAGAUGAGCCUAAGUCGGAUUAGCUAGUUGGUGGGGUAAAGGCCUACCAAGGCGACGAUCUGUAGCGGGUCUGAGAGGAUGAUCCGCCACACUGGGACUGAGACACGGCCCAGACUCCUACGGGAGGCAGCAGUGGGGAAUAUUGGACAAUGGGGGGAACCCUGAUCCAGCCAUGCCGCGUGUGUGAAGAAGGCCUUAUGGUUGUAAAGCACUUUAAGCGAGGAGGAGGCUCUUUUGGUUAAUACCCAAGAUGAGUGGACGUUACUCGCAGAGUAAGCACCGGCUAACUCUGUGCCAGCAGCCGCAGUAA